rnacentral:rRNA from 1 species
GAUGAACGCUAGCGGCAGGCCUAACACAUGCAGGUCGAGGGAGAGGUUAUCUUCGGGUAACCAAAACCGGCGCACGGGUGCGUAACGCGUAUACAAUCUGCCUUUCACAUAGGGAUAGCCCGAAGAAAUUUGGAUUAAUACCUAAUGGUAUAUAAGAGCGGCAUCGUUUUUAUAUUAAAGCUACGGUGGUGAAAGAUGAGUAUGCGUUCUAUUAGCUAGUUGGAGAGGUAACGGCUCCCCAAGGCGACGAUAGAUAGGGGUUCUGAGAGGGAUGUCCCCCACACUGGUACUGAGAUACGGACCAGACUCCUACGGGAGGCAGCAGUGAGGAAUAUUGGACAAUGGUCGGAAGACUGAUCCAGCCAUGCCGCGUGCAGGAUGAAGGUCCUAUGGAUUGUAAACUGCUUUUGUAAGGGAAGAAUAAGGAGUACGUGUACUUUGAUGACGGUACCUUACGAAUAAGCAUCGGCUAACUCCGUGCCAGCAGCCGCGGUAAUACGGAGGAUGCGAGCGUUAUCCGGAAUCAUUGGGUUUAAAGGGUCCGUAGGCGGGCUGAUAAGUCAGAGGUGAAAGCGCUUAGCUCAACUAAGCAACUGCCUUUGAAACUGUCAGUCUUGAAUGAUUGUGAAGUAGUUGGAAUGUGUAGUGUAGCGGUGAAAUGCUUAGAUAUUACACAGAACACCGAUAGCGAAGGCAUAUUACUAACAAUUUAUUGACGCUGAUGGACGAAAGCGUGGGGAGCGAACAGG